AGCGCAUGGAGUUCGAAUGAACUGCAGCAGAGCUAGAGGGAACUGCUGUGGGGUGUGGCCAAAGACUUCAUUGGUGCUUUCUCAUCAUUACAAGUUUUCAGAUGCUGGCCAGUCACUUCUUCCAAGGCUUCAAACACAUGACCAGACUGCUGCAACUACACUGUGUGUGUGUGUACUUUAAUCACUAAGACUUAAGUUACCAGAUCUAGUCUGUAUCCAGAUCAGAUACGCCCUUGACAGCUCUGAAUGUCAGCUGAGACAAGACAACUAGAUGAGCCCCAGAGAAAGAUCCCCUCCGCCCUCAUCGCCUAGACAGCCAUUGGGACAAGACCACAGGAACCAAACCAGUCCUCUGCACAAUCUGACAUGUGUUGCAGUCUGCAAUUCAUGAGUUCACACUUACAGAUAAUGUACAGAGUAAAGGUUAUGCGUAUUUGGCGUGCUUUCUGAGGAGAGGGCUCCAAGCGCUCCUCCUGAGUGUUCCUCCCUGUGCUGGGGUAGGAACAGGCUGAAGGUGAGGAGUCGGGGUGGUGGAGGGAUACUGAAAGACUAGAAAUAAUGAAGGUAUGGCUGCGUUGAUAAUUUAUAGGGGUUCUCUCUUGUGCUGAUUAGAUAGAUGGUGUAAUUACUGAUGAUGAACUGGCCGUGUUAAUUAUCUGUGCAUGCUCUUCCCGAAAUUUGUUAAUAAAACAUUACUUAAACUGCUGGAUUCAUCUGGCCAGAGAAGAAUGAUGGAGUUUUGGUUUCUUCGACAUAUGAUUUUUCUGUUUAAUACUGGAAAGCUGCUUUGACAUACCUGUAAUCUGUAAUAGCCUAGUGCUGGGCGGUAUACUGGUUUUUACUGAUUACCGGUGUUUCUUUUUCUUAUGAUAUGAAUUUUUAAAGUACCGCAAUGCUGGUUGUUUAAAUAAUGUUCGGAACGCGUUUGAGAGGGGUCUCUUUUGACGUUGCACUGUGGCUAGGACACAGCUGUAUGUUACUAAGUGUGAAAGUUCCAAGACUGAAGCUGUCCCAUGCAGGCCGGAUGUGGGCCAAAACUGCUUGCUGUCCGGACGUAGAACUUGUAGAACGUGAUGACACAGAAGAACUCGUCCACAGUAUCCACUGACCGCCACAUCCACCGCCUGCUGCCAUCAGCUCCUGCGCCUUACACACACGAGCGCAACUUCAGCGCUAGAUUUAGACUACAUCUUCUUUUAUCCGGGUGCAUUUGAAAACGGCAUUUUCGUUUUAAAACGCUCUCCGUCCGCACUAGCAUUUUCUAGCGUUUUGCAAACUUUGUCUCGUCAACACUGAAACUUUAAAAAAAGGUUAUAUUUCUGCGCAUGCGCAAAUCCUCGAAAAAGCUCACUGCAGAUGAUACGAAAGAACAGACAUGAUAAAUUUGUAUGCAGUUCUUCUGACAGGAUUAUUUUAUUUAUGAAAAGAUCCCACCAUUCACUGAUGCAACCAGGUCGCACACAUGAUUGUUUGUCUGAUCUAAAAUGCAACUGCCUUCAUGUUUUGUUGUAAAUAGCAAU